GGCAAAAUAAUCAUCAUAUAUAUACAUCAUACGAACCCGGCCCUCUAGUGAGGGACUCGGUGAAAUAGUUAUCACAUCAUCUCCGUCAUCAUCAUCAUCAUAACCAUCCUCAUCACCAAUCAUAUAUAUAAUAUACAUACCCGGCCCUCUAGUGAGGGACUCAGUGACAUAUGCAAGAAACUCCGCACGAACAUUACCCGGCCUGCAACUCGGUGAAAUGAUAAAUGACUCUAUGCACGAGCAGAAUAUUAUGAGCAACCAUAUGCAAUUAAAAUCAUUUUUUAUAACUCAAUAGAACAAUCAACGUGAACCGGCAAGGGGUAUUACCAAAGAUUAACGUUUUAUCAAGAUUAUGAACCUUUAAUACGAUAUGGAAACGUAAAAUCUCAGUGACUCUAAGAAGCACUACCAUAGAUAUGAGAAAUCACCAUAGACUUAGACAUAGCCGAUAUAUAGAGGAAUAGUUGUGGAAGCAAGAAUAUACGUCACCUAGACGCUCUAGAAGUAAGUAUGAAACUGGUCCGUCAUUCGCUCAUUUUUAAAAGUCAUGCCAAACAAAGAAAGAAAGGAUAGCGUUACAUACCGUAUAGUCGAGCCGCACGUCCAAUAUUUACUGCUCAAGCUAUUAAUCUAUAACAAGCAACAAUCAUGCCGCAAUUAGAUAGACGUCCCGCUUUACUACUUAUUGUAAGCUAGCUAAUAAUCUAACGGAAAUCCGGCAGCACUUCCCCUAUUUUCCUUACUUAGUCCCAAUCCGAUAACAACCCAAAUUAUCCACAGCAAUACCAAUAAAACAUAUAACCCAACGAAUCAUAUUAAACAGCCCCCCCCCUCCCCCAAAACAGUUCCGUCUCGGAAACCAUAGUAAUGAAACAAUGACACACCGAGCGAUAACUCGUUAUAUAAUUUGCAACACAUCUACCUUAUCGUAUUCAUCCUUUUGAGUAUAUACAUGGAAUCACAUUAACAUAUACAUAACUUCAAAAACAAAUUUCCAGCAUUUUGCUUUAAUCAAAACAGCCCAAACACUAACACGACAGCACUAAUAAUCUGACUAUGGUUUCCGUUCAUACUUAGCACAUUCAAUAACUAAAAAAAAUUUCCUUAGCUACUGGUCACGCCCCCUUCUUAACAUUAAUGGCUAAUUAACAAUGGCAUUCUAAGGAAUUAACACACCAAGCAAAGAGAUUACUAACCAAAUUCUUUUGUAGCUGCUAGCCAAGAGUUGCAUGGUUGGUUUUCUCCAUUUCCAUGGCUGUCUAUGAUAAGUGGUGAGGAAGAUGAUAUGUUUGCAAUGCAUUUCACCACCUCAUUCAUAAUAUGAAGUGGAGGCAGCCCCCCUCUACACGUGCCCCACUAAGGGCCAGCUCCCAAUCUGAUUUCUUUGAAUUUGCCUUGAGUGGUGGGGCCCACUUGAUUAAUUUAAUCCUAAUCAGCCACUAAUUAAUCCCUCACAUAGUUAAUGAAACUUAGAUUAGCCAAAUCAUACUUAGUAUCACAUGUGGAAUUAAAAUUCUUGCCUAAUAUUUCUUUAAUCACUUGAAACUUAAAAUAAAAUUUCAUUCCCCGGACUUACAUCUACUAGUUCAUGACGCGCACUACGUAUAAAUAUACGAGGCGUAACAUCCUUCCCCCCUUAGAAGCAUUCGUCCUCGAAUAUUAAGUUAGCGUCUUACAAAAAAAAUUCCAGCAAGGUCUCUCUAACAUUUAUACCUAUCAACCUGCAUUCCGUAACUUAUAGAUGCCUCACAGAGUCAACUUACUACAUAAUAUCGUUUAUUAAUCAAUAUAGUCAAGCUAGGAAUUGAAUUACAUGAAGGUACGGGGAACAAGUAAGGAUACUUAUUCUUCGUUUCGUCUCCGCUUCCCAAGUCAUCUCCUCCCUAUUAUUAUUUCGCCACAACACUUUGAUGGAAGCCACAUCCUUAGUACGUAACCUUCUAACCUGGCGAUCAAGUAUAGCUUCGGGUUUCUCCUCAUAUGACAACUCCAAGUCGGGAUCUUUAUCUCCUGUAACAAUCCACCAGCCUUUUGAUAUUCGAUCUUGACUUUUGACAAUUCGGGCACUGAGCAACAAACUCCGCUAUGUCCUUUUUCAUGCCAUCCCACCAGUAUAAGCAUCUGAGGUCAUGAUACAUUUUCGUCGACCCUGGGUGAAUAGAAUAACGGGCAGAGUUUACCUCUCCCAUAACCUGUCGUCGUAGCCCUGCAAUAUCGGGUACACACAAUCUGCCUUCAUAUCAUAACACUCCGUCAGGUGUAACCUUAAAUGGGGUCUUUUCCUUUUGAAGAGCUGCAUCUCUAUACUGUGCCAGAAAUAGGGUCCUCGUACUGGUGUCUUUUUACCUCAUCUAUGAUUGAGGACUCAGCAACCUCUAGAACAGAAACUCCACUAUUUCUGAAUUAGCCAGACGGACUCCAAGGUUGGAUAGCCGCUGAAUCUCCCGAACCAUCUCCCUCCUUUCUGGUUGUACAUCUGUCAAGCUACCCAUGGACUUACAGCUAAGAGCAUCUACUCAACAUUUGCUUUCCCUGGAUGAUAUAAAAUAUCAACAUCAUAAUCCUUUAGCAACUCUAAACACCGUCUUUGUCGUAAGUUUAGCUCCUUCUGUUUAAAGAUAUAUUGGAGACUCGUAUGAUCUGUAUAGAUGUCCACAUGGACACUAUACAAAUAAUGCCUCCAUAUCUUCAAGGCAUGAACCAUGACUGCUAACUCCAAAUCGUGAGUAGGAUAAUUAUUUCCAUGCUUCCUAAGCUGUCGGGAGGCAUAUGCUAUAACUUUGCCAUGCUGCAUCAAUACACAUCCUAGCUUAACACCCGAAGCAUCACAAUAAAUAACAUAGCCGUCUGGUCCCUCCGGAAGAGUUAGGACUAGAGUUAUAUUCAAUUUGUCUUUCAAUAGCUAGAAGCUUCGCUCACAAGCAUCAGUCCACCGGAACUUGGCUGCCUUUUGAGUUAGCCUUGUCAAAGGCACUGAAAUUGAGGCAAACUUUUCCACGAAUCUCCUAUAGUAUCCUGCUAACUCCAGAAACCUGCGUACCUCAGCAGGUGUCGUAGGUCUGGGUCAAGUCUUUACCGCCUCAAUCUUCUGCAUGUCUACCCGAAUACCAUCAGCUCCAAUAAUAUGCCCCAAGAAUGCCACUGAAGUCAACCAGAACUCGCACUUGGAGAACUUAGCAUACAACUUCUGGUGCGAAAGCACCCUAAGUACCGUCCUUAAAUGGUCUGCAUGCUCCUCUUCUGAACGUGAAUAGACCAGAAUAUCGUCUAUAAAUACAAUAACAAACAUAUCAAGAAAUGGUUUAAACACUCGAUUCAUUAAAUCCAUAAACACCGCUGGAGCAUUAGUUAGCCCAAAAGACACCACUCUAAACUCAUAAUGCCGGUAUCUGGUCCGGAAUGCCGUCUUUGGAAUAUCUGCCUCCCUUACCCGUACCUGAUGAUAACCUGACCGCAAGUCUAUCUUUGAAAAACACUUAGCACCCUGCAACUGGUCAAAUAGAUCGUCAAUCCUUUGGAGGGGAUACAUGUUCUUUACUGUUACUUUGUUCAGCUGCCUAUAAUCAAUACACAUCCGUAGCGACUCAUCCUUCUUCCUCACAAACAGUACCGGUGCUCCCCAAGGUGACGUACUAGGCGUGAUGAAGCCCUUUUCUAGCAAAUCUCUUAAUUGCUCUUUCAACUCAGCAGGUGCCGUUCUAUAAGGAGGUAUAGAUAUAGGUUGGGUAUAUGGCAGUACAUCUAUAUAAACUCUAUCUCUCAUUUUGGAGGAAGGCCUGGAAAUUCCUCUGGGAAUACAUCGGGAAAUUCAUUAACUACCAGGACUGAUUGAAGAGUCGGUGCCUCUGCCUUUAUGUCAUACACCCGAACCAGAUGAUAAAUAUAGCCUUUUCUAACCAUCUUCCUGGCCUUGAGGUAUGAAAUAAACUUACCUUUCAGCGAUACUGUAAUCCUCUUCCACUCUAUAAUCGGUUCCCCUGGAAAUUGAAAUCGAACUAUCUUUCCUCUGCAAUCAACAUUAGCAUAACAAGCAGCCAACCAAUCCAUGCCCAUGAUAAUAUCAAACUCAAUCAUAUUUAACUCUAUUAUAUCUGCUAUGGUACGACGGCUAUCUAUAACCACUGAACAAUUCUUAUAUACUCGCGUAGCUAUGACAGAAUCUCCUACAGGUGUAGCUACCUCAAAUGGUUCUAUCAACUCAGACUCUAUUCCGAUCCUACUAGCAACGAAGGGGGAUAUAAAUGAUAAGGUGGAACCUGGGUCUACCAAUGCAUACACGCUUCGGGAGAAUAGUGAUAAUAUACCUGUGAUCACAUUAGGUGACGCCUCCUGAUCCUGCCUACUAGUCAAAGCAUAUAUGUUGUUCGAGGGACCGCUAGAACUGGAAGCUCCACCACGGCCUACUGGCGCUUGAAUACCCUACCCCGUAGGGCGCAUAUCCACAGAAGAAGAUGAACCAGCAACGGACCCAGUAGGUUGUGCCAUACCACCCUCACUACCUCUAAGGUGACACUCCCUCAUAGUAUGAACCUGACGGCCGCAAGAAAAACAUGCACCUGUAGCCCAAUGACAUUCCCUAGGAUGGGACCUACCACAACGAGAACACCGAGGCAAAGGUGGCCUCGACUGGCUCAAACCCCUGCCCAUCUGUGACCUUGACGCCCUAGAGCUCUUACCAGCUUCCGAAUAUCCCGUACGAUCAAACCCCUUACCCAUGGAACAUAGGGGUGCACUCUGUGCUGGCUGGGAAGAAAAUCUAACAUGUUGCUGAGACUGCCCGCCUCGAAAGUCGUUAGGAUAACCUGCUGAGCCCUCUUAUGCUGGCCUCUAUUAUAAUCUCUAUCUGGCUGACGUCCCCGGUGCCGAUCCUCUAUCCCCUGUGCAUAUGCCUGCACCCGAGCAAUGUCCAUACCUGGCUGAAGAGUCAGUGCCAUACAACCGUCAAUCAGAUAACGAUCCAAUCCCAUCACAUAACGAUGUACCCUGUCUGCCAUAUCAUCCACAAUAGUAGGCGCAUGCCUAGCCCAUGAAUCAACUCGAGGCUUUACUCUCGAACGCUCGUACCAUUCUGCUUCUAACGCAAGAAUCUAUCGACUCUAGUCGCUUCAUCUCUGGAGGCAGGAAGUGGCCCUGGAAAGCCUCCACAAAUCCAUCCCAUACCGCUGGAGGAGCACCCUCACCCCUAGAUAACUCCCAAGACUCCUACCAAUUAAUAGCUACAUCCCGCAAACGAUACGUAGCCAACUCAACAGACUCGGUCUCCGAAGCCUUGAUUAUCCUCAAUGUACGCUGCAUCUGAAGAAUAAACUCUUGCGGAUCAUCCUGGGGCCUUGACCCAAAGAACUUUUGAGGAUUACAACUUAAGAAGUCACGAGCCCUUAAGCUAUCAGAUCUGUCCGCAUGAUCAACUCCUAGUCCAUGCCUGCGAGCCUGACCUGCCACUAAUGUAGUCAGCAACUGAACCGCAACUCUCAUGGCCCUAUCCUCCGCCCCUGGCUGAGGAGCUGGAGGUUCAGGUGCUAGGGCCUCGGGGCUGGUGGUGGGGUCCCCCGAACUGGAGCUGCUGCUGCUCUAAGCUCCUCUUGCAAUGGCGGUGUAGUAGAGCUCUCCGACUGGAGCACAAUACCAGGCAUAGACUGGGCACGGGCCCUAGUAACUCUCAGGGUCUGACUCGUUCCUUCUGCUAUUGAUUUGCCCUUCUGGGCGGCUGUCGCUUUCUUUGGAGGCAUAGCUGAAAACACAGGGGUUCGUUAGAGAGGGAUUAUCCUAUUAAUAUAGCUCUAUCGCACGAUCCAGAAUAAGAAGAAAGGAUGACAUCCUAAAUGUCCUGUAGCUCCCUGUUUAUAGAUGUGGUGCACAACACACCGAUAAAUAUGACUCUACUAGACACGGUCUCUAGACACUUCUGAGAAAGAACCGCUCUGAUACCACUUUUGUCAUGACCCAACCCGAUGGUCCGUGACUAGUGCCCGUUUUGGACACUCACAUACAAAUCUGUUAAGUAUAACCAACUGAAACUAAGACAAUAUAAAAUUUAAUCAAAUCAAGCCAAUCCCAGCGCCAUAUAUAUAUAAAGUGGAUCUGUCUCAUAAGGAGUCAUAACCGUUCAACCGUAACAACAUACGCGAGCCAACAAGGCUGCCACUAUCCAAAGCAUAAUAGCAUACGCAAGCCGGCAAGGCUGCCACUACACAAUACACAAUGAUGUACGCAGCCGACAAGGCUGCCUCUGUACAAGAGAACAUCCCAAACAAACCAUGUCCAUACCAUUAUCCAAAACAAAUAUAUGCAACCCACAUAAUGUCUACAGACCUCUAAGAGUAUAGUAGUGAAACUCGACGGGACAGGGCCCCACCGUACCCAUACACAAUCAAAACACUACACAGAAAGUUAUGUACCAAAACGACUGGGCUCCGAAGCAGUGGAGCUCUCCUAAUUAGCAGAGUAGAUAUCCUAGGCGGGAGGAUCACCGAACGGUGCGUCUACACCUGCGGGCAUGAAACGCAGCCCCCCGAGGAAAGGGGGUCAAUACGGAUAAUGUACUGAGUAUGUAAAGCAUAAGGUAAAGAUGACAGGGUACCAACAUGAUAAGUCGAAACAAUAUAUCGCUACACAUGUACCUUUUAAGUGAAAAUCAAGCAUAUCUUUAACAUAUAAGGUGCCCAGCUUCCCUAAUAAGGGACUCGGCAAAAUAAUCAUCAUAUAUAUACAUCAUACGUACCCGGCCCUCUAGUGAGGGACUCGGUGAAAUAGUCAUCACAUCAUCUCCGUCAUCAUCAUCAUCAUAACCAUCCUCAUCACCAAUCAUAUAUAUAAUAUACAUACCCGGCCCUCUAGUGAGGGACUCGGUGACAUAUGCAAGAAACUCCGCACGAACAUUACCCGGCCCGGGACUCGGUGAAAUGAUAAAUGACUCUAUGCAGGAGCAGAAUAUUAUGAGCAACCAUAUGCAAUUAAAAUCAUUUUUUAUAACUCAAUAGAACAAUCAACGUGAACCAGCAAGGGGUAUUACCAAAGAUUAAUGUUUUAUCAAGAUUAUGAACCUUUAAUAUGAUAUGGAAACGUAAAAUCUCAAUGACUCUAAGAAGCACUACCAUAGAUAUGAGAAAUCACCAUAGCCUUAGACAUAGCCGAUAUAUAGAGGAAUAGUUGUGGAAACAAGAAUAUACGUCACCUAGACGCUCUAGAAGUAAGUAUCAAACUUGUCCGUCAUUAGCUCAUUUUUAAAAGUCAUGCCAAACAAAGAAAGAAAGGAUAGCGUUACAUACCGUAUAGUCGAGCCGCACGUCCAAUAUUUACUACUCAAG
rnacentral:lncRNA from 1 species